AUUGAACGCUGGCGGCAGGCCUAACACAUGCAAGUCGAACGAGUGGCGGACGGGUGUGUAAUGUCUGGGAAACUGCCUGAUGGACGGGGAUAACUACUGGAAACGGUAGCUAAUACCGCAUACCAUCGGAUGUGCCCAGAUGGGAUUAGCUAGUAGGUGGGGUAAAGGCUCAACUAGGCGACGAUCCCUAGCUGGUCUGAGAGGAUGACCAGCCACACUGGAACUGGGCCACGGUCCAGACUCCGACGUGAGGCAGCAGUGGGGAAUAUUGCACAAUGGGCGGAAGACUGAUGCAGCCAUGCCGCGUGUAUGAAGAAGGCCUUCGGGUUGUAAAAUACUUUCAGCGGGGAGGCGUUACCCGCAGAAGAAGCACCGGCUAACUCCGUGCCAGAAGCCGCGGGAAUUC
rnacentral:rRNA from 1 species